UACGUAGGGGGCAAGCGUUGUCCGGAGUUACUGGGCGUAAAGCGCACGCAGGCGGUCUUUUAAGUUUGGAGUGACAGUUGGUGGCUUAACUGCCAAAGUGCUUCGAAAACUGAGAGACUUGAGGGCUUCAGAGGGACACGGAAUUCCGGGUGGAGUGGUGAAAUGCGUAGAGAUCCGGAGGAACACCAAAGGCGAAGGCAGUGUCCUGGGGAGUACCUGACGCUCAGGUGCGAAAGCCAGGGGAGCGAACGGG
rnacentral:rRNA from 1 species